GCGAAAACUUUACAAUGCUGGCAACAGCGAUAAGGGAACCCCGAGUGCCAGGUUACAAAUCUGGCUGUCGAGAUGCCUAAAAAGCAUUUCAUAGCAAGGGCCGGGCAAGACCGGUGCCAGCCGCCGCGGUAACACCGGCAGCUCAAGUGGUGGCCGUUUUUAUUGGGCCUAAAGCGUUCGUAGCCGGUUUGAUAAGUCUCUGGUGAAAUCCCGCAGCUCAACUGUGGGAAUUGCUGGAGAUACUAUCAGACUUGAGGUCGGGAGAGGUGAGAGGUACUUCAGGGGUAGGGGUGAAAUCUUGUAAUCCUUGAAGGACCACCAGUGGCGAAGGCGUCUCACCAGAACGGACCUGACGGCAAGGGACGAAAGCUAGGGGCACGAACC
rnacentral:rRNA from 1 species